CCUGCCCCUAGAGGCGUUGCAGGUGUGGCUGCUGUGUCACAUGUGCGUCAGAAGGUGGCAGAGAGGACAGAGGCUAUAUCUACACUCUGUUCUGACCUGCGAGCAUCUGAAUGUCAGUAGUCUAACAUA